CUCCUCCUCCCCCCCUCCCCCUCCCCCUCCUCCUCCUCUCUCUUUUUUGGUGGUGACUAUGGCGGGUUUUUAACAUAUAAUUUCAGAAUUCAGGUGCCUAGGUACUUCUUAAGGUCACUUUGAAUAAGAGUAUAUGAGAUGGGGGAAUGUUGGUAUAGUUGUCUUUGGAAUAUAUAAUUUGUUUUAUUUUUCUGUGGACUUUUAAGUGUAAUCUUUUGCUAAUAUGCCUACUUUUAGCAACAAACAACUUUUUAGCAGUAUUUUUCUGUGGCCUGGGUGUGUGUAUCUGUAGAACAAAUUACCAGCAAAAGGAUUGCCAGAUCAAAGGAUUCCAUACCUUUAAAAUAUUAAGAGAUGUCAAAUUGCCUUCCUAAAUGGCUAUUUCUUACUCUAACAGAAGUUUAUGUUUAGUCUUUUGUAGGUCUCAUAAGUGAAAAGUACACUAUUUUUAAGGAGUUGCUUAUCUUUUCCUUAUUACUUAAUACUUUUUUGUGUAUUAAUCCUUUUGUCUGGCAUAUAUAUUGGUCAUGUCUUUACUUUUUUGUGUUGUGCCUUUGCAUCUCUGUGUCUGUGCAUAUAUCUGUAUCUUAACUUACAACUCUACCGGCAUGUCUAUCUAUUUGAGGUGCUGCAAGUAGCCAGACUAUGUGCCUAAGCUAAGAAUACAAAUACAAAAAUGCAUGUCAAAUUUUCAGAUUUUGACACAUUGUUAGAUUUUCUUUGAUAUUUUACCUUUCUUCAUUGCUACUCUUAAUUUAAAUGAUCAUAAAUUACCCGUGAAAAGGUCAGAGAAAAAUUUUUUAUUGAGGUAAAAUUCAUAUAAUCAAAUUCACCAUUUUAAAGUAUAGAUAAAUUCUUACAUUUUAUUUUAUAUCAGAGAUUGGAUCUAUUCAUUUAAUACAUGUUAAAAGCUAUAAUGUGACUAUGGAAAUCGUGAUUAAAGGAGCAAUUUCAUAAGAAAUAAAUAUCUUUAAUGACUCUUGUAAGUUGGAGUCAUGAGUACAGUAUUCAUUUUAUUCUGGAAAACCUUUAUAAGGAAGUUUGAAGAAGAUGAUUAUCAGAUUAAUUAAAUUAUAAAUGUAGGCCAGGGAUGGUGGCUCAUGCCUAUAAUUCCCGCACUUUGGGAGGCCAAAGUGGGCAGAUGGCUUGAGCCCAGGGGUUUGAGUUGGGUAUAUGUAAGUUGUUUUGAUGAGCAUGGAAGAAUAACUAACUCUUGCUACAUCAUGCUUUUCAGCAGAAACUUUAUUAUAAAAAUAUUACAGAGAAAUCUGUACCUGUCACAGUACACAGUAAUCUGUGUACUGUGUCACAGUAAUCUGUACACAGAAAUCUGUACACAGUAAUCUGUGUCAAAGAUUGUGGUAAACUAAAUGCAACUAAACUUUCUAUUAAUAUGCAUAAUGGUCAUUUGUUACACAUUUAUUGAAACUUUUGUCUUCAACUGCCAGUAUGGGAAUAACUAAUUAAAACCUUUUUUUGAAAGCUGUCACAACAGUUUUGACUUUAUAAAAGCAUAACAUUACACAGUGGGAAUUUCAAAUACUGUUGAGACUUAUGUUUUACUAAAUUGAGUUUUUACUGAGAAUCUUAAAGGAAAGCUGAAAUCUCCAGAACACUUUUAUUUCAGGUUGGAAUUAAAACUUUGUUGUAAGCAACAGUCUUAUCUGACAAUUGUGUGAAAACUUUGGUCUUUAUUCAAGCUUUUGGUUACUAAUACAGACUCUUGAUUUCAGAGUUGUUUACAGCCUUUUCAUAUGCCAUACACAUAUGUACAUUCAUAUAUCUGUACACACACGUAUACACACUCUCUUGCCCCAAGAAAAGAUAAAAUCUUUCAUACUUACAAUUCAUGCUACAUUAAUGUAAGACUCUUUAAUCAUAUCUAAAAUUCAGUUAAUGAUCAGAAAAAAUACAUUAAACAUUCUAAUAUUUUAUUUAGAAAAAUUAUAUUGAAAGUCUGUUACUAUCAGGAUUCUAAAUCUGCAGUGUUUGACUUCCAGCAUAAUCUUUUUAUUUCAUAAUAGAGAACUUUUUAAAAUCUAGCCUGUCUAGAAUGAGUAGUUCCUCAUGAGGCUGAAUUUUAAAAACAGAGUUAAAGCAAAGAAGGAAGGCAUUCAUUUUCAUGUUGAAAAUAUUUCUAAAAGGAACAUUUCCUCAUAUGGUCCAACUAUUAAAUGCAGGUGAAAUAAGCCAAAAAAAGAGAAGCUGAUUUUUUUUUUUUUUUUUUGCAAUAAAAUAACU